rnacentral:rRNA from 1 species
GUAAAUUAGAGGUAGCUGGAAUAAGUAGUGUAGCGGUGAAAUGCAUAGAUAUUACUUAGAACACCAAUUGCGAAGGCAGGUUACCAUGAUUUAACUGACGCUGAGGGACGAAAGCGUGGGUAGCGAACAGGAUUAGAUACCCUGGUAGUCCACGCCGUAAACGAUGCUAACUCGUUUUUGGGGCGCAAGCUUCAGAGACCAAGCGAAAGUGAUAAGUUAGCCACCUGGGGAGUACGUUCGCAAGAAUGAAACUCAAAGGAAUUGACGGGGGCCCGCACAAGCGGUGGAUUAUGUGGUUUAAUUCGAUGAUACGCGAGGAACCUUACCAAGACUUAAAUGGGAAUUGACAGGUUUAGAAAUAGACUCUCCUUCGGGCAAUUUUCAAGGUGCUGCAUGGUUGUCGUCAGCUCGUGCCGUGAGGUGUUAGGUUAAGUCCUGCAACGAGCGCAACCCCUGUCACUAGUUGCUAACAUUAAGUUGAGGACUCUAGUGAGACUGCCUACGCAAGUAGAGAGGAAGGUGGGGAUGACGUCAAAUCAUCACGGCCCUUACGUCUUGGGCCACACACGUAAUACAAUGGCCGGU